GGACAUUUUCAUAACCAGUAGUUUGAGUUAAGUAGCAUUUUUUAAAACUGAAAUAAAUUUUAUACAUAACAUUGUGUAAAUUUCAGGUGUAUAACAUGUUGAUUUGACACAUUCCUGUAUUGUCAUAUGAUUGGCACUGUAUACUGACAAUUAGGACCUAUAAUUAUUUCCUUUUAGUGGUGGGAAUAACUAAGAUCUAGUCUCUUCACAAGUUUGAUGAUUAUGAUACAGUAUUGUGGUCUAUAUUCACUAUACUAUACAUUAGAUUUUUAGGACUUAUUUAGUACCUGUUGCAAGUCUGUUUAAUCCUUACAGAAAAAUAACCCUGGAGAAAGAAACUACCAUUUAUUAAGUGCCUAUAUGUCUCAGGGAUUCCACAAAUUUAUUUGCCUUCAUUAGCUCAUGGAUUGCGGUACAAAACUCUGCACUGGGAUUAUAGCUAUCUGGAAUUUUUUUUGGAAAAAUAUUUUUUCAAGAAAAAUAGUCUGUUCAGAUAAAGCAUUCUCACAGAGAAAAUAAUGUAGACGCUGAAGAAACAUGUAGAGCUGUGAAUGUAUGUGGGCCAUUAAGCCAUAGAAAUUUUCUAGACCUCCCCUGGUGGCCAUUAAAACUCCUGCUGAGAGCUAGUUGGUUAAUUCCAUCACAAAGUUUUAGCUUUCACCUCUAAUGGUUUUUACCAGACCAAUGGGGGAUCCCGACAGGGUUAAUGGGCAGUAAGGUUAAUUUUUGCCUUCUGGUAGAGACUUUAAGAAUUUUUGUUUUGGUUUGUUUUGACAUAUAUAGACCAUAAAUUAUAUAGCAGAAUGAAACCACAUAUUAGGCAAGGGACCAUCUUUUUUAUUUUUUAUUUUUUUCCACCAAAAUACUAUCAAACACUGGCCUUGAAAAUGACUACGUUUAGGGGCACCAGGAUGGCUCAGUAGGUGGAACAUGCGACUACUGAUCUUGGGGUGGUGAGUUUGAGCCCCACGUUUGGUGUAGAGAGUACUUAAAAAAAAAAAAACAAAACCACUGUGUCCAUUUCACAGGUCUGUUUGGGAACUACUCCAUACCAGGCACUGGGUUUAUAAUGGUGAACAAAGUAGACACAACCUUUGCCCUCAAAGAGCUUCAGAGCUGGCAAAAGAAAGAAAUACUACAAGUAAAUAUAUAACCCCAAGCUGAGUGUUGAGCCUUGUCUCUUUGUUGUAUGGAUACAACCCCAAGUUGUAGAUAUGAGAGAAUAACAGGAAGAUAACUUGCAUGGGAAGUCCAGGGGAAGUGACUUUAGCUGGGCCCUAGGGGAUGAGAAAAAAGGAGCUAGGUGAGGAGUUCUGGUGGGGGAAGAACAUUACAGCUGGAAAUGAAAGGUCCUUGAGGUAGGAAGGAACUUGGUAACUUGUGGGGACUUAAAGAAGGGCUGUGUAGGAAACAGAGUUCUUAGUCCAGGGAAAGAAAACCAACAGGAGAGACAGAGAGAAAGACAUUGGCUCACACGAUAAUGAAGGCUAAAUCCCACAAUCUGUUGGAAGCCCAGAAGAGCUGGUGGUGUAGUUCGAGUCCAAACGUUAAGGCCUUAGAACCAAAGGAGCCAGUGGUGUGAAAUGGGGCCAGUGGCAAGCCCCGUGAAUCAGGAAUGCUCAUGGUGUAAGUCCCCAUCUCAAGAGGAGACAGAUGUCCCAGCUCUACACUCAGGUAGGGGUAGAGAAUUCUCUCUUCCUAAGGCUUUUUCCACUCCGGACUUCAACCCAUUGGGCUAACGCCAACCUGGAGGAGGGCAAUCUGCCUCACUCAGUCUACCGAUUCAAAUGCUAAUCUCUUCCAAAAACACCCUCACAGAUUUGCCGAGUAAUGUUUAACUAGAUGUCCACCUGGAGAACCCAUGGCCCAGGUCAAAAUUAACCAUCACAGAGGGUGAUGGCCAGAAGAGGCAAGAGAGGAAUGCAGGGAUGAGUGGUUUGUACUGGUCAACUUGGUUACGUUGGAAAGAGGUCUCCUAGAAUCCUCUUCCCUGUUCGAUUUGGCCAAAAGAGGCAAGAGCAGGUACAGCAGCACCGUCCCUGAAAGUCAUCGUGGUCGGAUGCAGUGGUGGAUGAGAGAGAAAGAGAGCAGAGGAAGGGCAGAGAAAGCGGGAGACUGAGGAUCCAAAGUGGGCUCUGUGCUGAUAGCAGCGAACCCAAUGAGGGGCUUGAACCCACGAACCGCAAGACCAUGAUCUAAGCCCAAAGUCGAACGCUCGACCGACUGAGCCACCCAGGAACCCCAUAAAUGAACUGGCUUUUGGACCAAAAGCAGCUGGAAAUCUGCCCUCCUUUGGUCUCACCUCCGGGAACGCAAGUGCCAUGAGGGCCAGG